rnacentral:rRNA from 1 species
AUUGAACGCUGGCGGCAGGCCUAACACAUGCAAGUCGAACGGUAACAGGAAGAAGCUUGCUUCUUUGCUGACGAGUGGCGGACGGGUGAGUAAUGUCUGGGAAACUGCCUGAUGGAGGGGGAUAACUACUGGAAACGGUAGCUAAUACCGCAUAACGUCGCAAGACCAAAGAGGGCGACCUUCGGGCCUCUUGCCAUCGGAUGUGCCCAGAUGGGAUUAGCUAGUAGGUGGGGUAACGGCUCACCUAGGCGACGAUCCCUAGCUGGUCUGAGAGGAUGACCAGCCACACUGGAACUGAGACACGGUCCAGACUCCUACGGGAGGCAGCAGUGGGGAAUAUUGCACAAUGGGCGCAAGCCUGAUGCAGCCAUGCCGCGUGUAUGAAGAAGGCCUUCGGGUUGUAAAGUACUUUCAGCGGGGAGGAAGGGAGUAAAGUUAAUACCUUUGCUCAUUGACGUUACCCGCAGAAGAAGCACCGGCUAACUCCGUG